rnacentral:rRNA from 1 species
UACGUAGGGUCCAAGCGUUGUCCGGAUUUAUUGGGCGUAAAGAGCUCGUAGGCGGUUCGGUAAGUCGGAUGUGAAAACUCAGGGCUCAACCCGGAGACGCCAUCCGAUACUGCUGUGACUGGAGUCUGGUAGGGGAUCACGGAAUUCCUGGUGUAGCGGUGAAAUGCGCAGAUAUCAGGAGGAACACCGAUGGCGAAGGCAGUGAUCUGGGCCAGUACUGACGCUGAGGAGCGAAAGCGUGGGGAGCAAACAGG